AGACAAAAAACAAAUAUGAUCAAAAAAGAUACAAUGAGACAAGGAGAAAGCCCUCAUGUCUGAGCUGUAUAAGGCAACCCAAUAGGAAGAAAAGAGUCCCAAGAGCAGGAAAAUUAAUCAGAGUACCCUUUCCUCCUGUUAGGAGUCCCACAAAAACACCAAGCUGUCAGCCAUAACAUAUAUAGAAGACCUGGUGCAGACCCAUGAAAGCCUUGUGCUUGCUGCUUCAGUCUCUGAGAACCCAUAUGCCCUGCUUAGGUGAUUCAUUGGGACAUGUUCUCUUGGUAUCUUUCAGGACAUCUGAUUCCUACAGUUUUUCCUCCUUCUCUUCCAUGGGGUUUCUGAGCUAUGAAGGGAAGGACCAGGUAGAGACCUUCAAUUUAUACUCUGUCUGCACAAUGUCCUGCUGUGGGUCUCUGCAUCUGCUCCCAUCUGCUGCUGGAGAAAGCCUCUCUGAUGAUGACUGGAAAGGCACCAAUCUAGAAACAGACUCGAUCUCAUCUUGGAAACCACAGAAGUUGGAAAGAACUCAGAACCCUCCUAGAGAGGAAACCAACCUCGAAGUCUCCAUAUAG
rnacentral:lncRNA from 1 species